rnacentral:rRNA from 1 species
UGGUGGGUAGUUUGACUGGGGCGGUCUCCUCCUAAAGAGUAACGGAGGAGCACGAAGGUUGGCUAAUCCUGGUCGGACAUCAGGAGGUUAGUGCAAUGGCAUAAGCCAGCUUGACUGCGAGCGUGACGGCGCGAGCAGGUGCGAAAGCAGGUCAUAGUGAUCCGGUGGUUCUGAAUGGAAGGGCCAUCGCUCAACGGAUAAAAGGUACUCCGGGGAUAACAGGCUGAUACCGCCCAAGAGUUCAUAUCGACGGCGGUGUUUGGCACCUCGAUGUCGGCUCAUCACAUCCUGGGGCUGAAGUAGGUCCCAAGGGUAUGGCUGUUCGCCAUUUAAAGUGGUACGCGAGCUGGGUUUAGAACGUCGUGAGACAGUUCGGUCCCUAUCUGCCGUGGGCGCUGGAGAACUGAGGGGGGCUGCUCCUAGUACGAGAGGACCGGAGUGGACGCAUCACUGGUGUUCGGGUUGUCAUGCCAAUGGCACUGCCCGGUAGCUAAAUGCGGAAGAGAUAAGUGCUGAAAGCAUCUAAGCACGAAACUUGCCCCGAGAUGAGUUCUCCCUGACCCUUUAAGGGUCCUGAAGGAACGUUGAAGACGACGACGUUGAUAGGCCGGGUGUGUAAGCGCAGCGAUGCGUUGAGCUAACCGGUACUAAUGAA